UAGAAAGUGGUGUAGCGGAAGCACUAGGGGUUUUGAUCUCCUAAGGAGAGGUUCAAAUCCUCUUUUUCUAA
rnacentral:tRNA from 1 species